rnacentral:tRNA from 1 species
GGGCUAUUGGCGCAGGCAGGUAGCGCAGCAGGCUCUUAACCUGACGGUCGGGGGUUCGAUAUGUCGUUGGAAAUUCUCCAACUAACGAGAUUCCCUCAUAGCCCG